rnacentral:other from 2 species
AUAAGUCUGAAAUAUUCGUAGAGCUCUUAUUUUGAACCUACAGAGUUCAUAAGGGAGUUCGAUAUUUAGUUGUGAAUUGUCCUUUAAGUCCAAAAGGAUUAUUUGGCAAGGACAGGGAAACAGCUGUGAGAACACCCACCUAUCAUAGAGAUAGGUGUCAAAAUCGGAGUAGCGGUAUUUUGGAUUUUAA